rnacentral:lncRNA from 1 species
GCCGAAGUCCGUCCCCCCAGCCGAACCGAGCCCAGCCGUCGCCAUGUCUGAGCGGGACGCCGCUGCCGCUGUCGUGUUUGCUGCCGCUUUCCUCGCCCGGGGGCCACAAUCAACUCCACAACCACCACCCCGCCCUAGCCGCCACCAAGGUCCCAAUAAAUCCCCAUCCCCCAUGCGCCACCGCCGUUUUUUUACUCCACCCGAAGCCGCCGCUGUGCCCAAACACGUCACCGCCGCAUCUGAUCUCACCGCCAGGUGCUGGACGAUGCCACCCACCCGCAUCAUCACCUCUGCCUCAUCCUCACCGACACUCCGUCGCCCUUGUCGCUGCCGGUGAGCACUCCUCCUCCCUUCCCCCCCCCCCCCCCCCCCUCCUUUGUUUCCCCCUCCCCCCGCCGUUACACCGCCCCGCUGCCGACGCGUCUGCCUCGCUGUCGCCGAUGUCGUCCCGUCCUCGUCGGAGUGUGUCCGGGUCUGCCCUAGCCAGCCCACGCUUUUCCCCCGCGCUGCCACCUCUCCUCCCAUGUUCGGCCACUGCUGCCGUUCUCGCCUUGUCGCCCGUCCCCAUCGUGCGCCGCCGCCAUUGUCGUCGCCGCCAUUAUGCGCCAUCGCCGCUAUGCCGGUCAUCGCCGCCACUACCGCCGCCGAGAGCCGCCCAGAGCUACUGGCUGAGCGCCCGCUCUGCUCUCCCCUGUUCGGGUGUCGUCCCCCUCCCCCCCUCUCUGCCCCGGGUCACCAACCAAUGGUACCCACCCGUCGAGCCCCUCCCUCUCUCUCUCCCCUCUCACCGCCGGGUGAGCCCGGCCUGUCAGUCAACCGCCCCCCUCUCUCUUCCCCGUGGGACCCUUUGUCAGUCCCAUUCCUCCCGCCCUCACCCGAUGAUAGGUGGCCCCCACCUGUCAGCCACCCCUCCUCUCCUCACUGACGUCAGCACCUCACUUUAUUGCGCAAUAAUUGAUUUAGGACUUUCUGUUUAGUUAAAAACCCAAAAAAUGUCUAAAAUUCAUAACUAAUUCAUCCGAUCUCUACUUAAGUCCAUUCAAAUUUCUCUUGUUGUUUCAGAAGAGUUUGUGCAUGUUUAUUUAUUUUUGUGCUUUGUCGCUUAGAUUCGGACCCCACCGAAGCGUCGGUUUACUUCGAGAUCAUCGUCAAAGUACCCCAAGGACCAGAGCAUGGCAAGUGACACUCAUCUUUGAUCAUAUUGAACCUACUGUUGCUAAUUCUUUGCAUUAUUUAUUCAAACAUGCAUUGCUCUACAUAAAGUAUUUAUUGUAUUUAUUUUACGGGUAACCUAUUUUUAUGCCGUUGUUUAUCCAUCUUUAUUCGUGCUAUACCAGGGGUAACUUGAGUAGAGUUGGGCCUAGACUAAUGCUUAGCCAUGCUUAGAACAAGUAGCUCAUGGGAUCACACUUUAAUCAUUGUUAGUUUUGAAUAGCUGUUAAUUAUGAUUCAUUUCCUGGUUCGGCUUAAUGCCAACUAAAAUAUUGAUAAUGGUGGGCUGUGGGUGCAUGGUUUUGAGAUUCGCACCAAUGGCGAUAAAUGACCGGUUCACGAGAAACCCUGGAAAUAAUUCAGUGCUAACCACAUGCCGAAAUGUGUAAGGUGGGAUUUGAAGCAUCGCUUCGAACUAUUUGACGUACCAAGGCAAGGGUGAGGAUGAUCGAGUAUGGACGGGACAUCAUGGUGUAACGAUGGCCUCUGCUGCUUUCGGAUUCACCAAGGCACAAGAGGGGACUGCCCGACUUGGUGUAAAGGAGGGGGUGAAACCGGAAGUGCGGUGCGAUUAAAUAGGGAGGUUAUGUCAUGGUGCCAUGUCGGCACACGUUCAAGUGCAGUGGAGUCAUGUCUUGUGGGUACAGUACUACACCUCUGAUCAGAGUAUAAUCUAUUCGAAUAGUCAUGCCCACGGUCCAGGGCGGACUCCCAGAUUCACUGUGAUUAGUUGAAUCUUUAAUGACUUGAGUAAGCUAGCUUUCACUUGGGGCUACUGCAACGUGUUGUAGUGUUGAGUAGUGGUUGGGUCUGUCACAACGUGGUGUAAUGUUGGACGGUGAUGUGGUAAUUUUACAACUGUUAUUUAUUUAUUCUUUUAUUUAUUUAAUUACAUUUAUUUAGUUUAAUCUCUAUUAUUUAUUAGACGUUGCUUUGUUGCAACUUACCCUAGCCUACCUUUGAUGAUCCCUUGCAUCAUUUAUUACCCUCUUUUCCUUGCUACUUGUUGAGUAUAGUGGUUUGUACUCAGUUUUGCGUAAUUAUUUCUCCCUUCAGAGCUAGAUGUUGAAUCCGAUGGAGCUGACUCCCAGGAGUGAGCUGUUCUGCCGUCGAAGUGUUGCCUAUGGACUGGAGCCAUGCCCGCUGGAGCAAGUCUACGUUAUCUUUUCCGCUGUUUUCGUUAGAUUAAAUGUUAUUUUUAGUUGUUUCUAAGAACGAACGGUUAUGUAAUCAACAUUGUCUUUUUGUGUCCCUUGGCUG